rnacentral:rRNA from 1 species
GGCGGAUUCCGAAUAGUACGGCGAGUGACUCGGAAAGCCCAGCGCUAAUCGCACUGCUUUUGUAGUGUGAUUCCGUGUAGCGUAUAGAGCGUAUUUUCCUAAGCCGACGUCGAUUUCCGUCUUCUAUGACUAGGGCUCCGCAGAAGGUUAUAGACCUGUCCAAUCGUCGUCGGUGGUGGAGCGUGCGUUCUUGGAGUCGGGUUGCUCGGGAUCGCAGCCCGAAGUAGGUGGUAAACUUCAUCUAAGGCUAAAUACGGCCACGAAACCGAUAGCAAACAAGUACCGUGAGGGAAAGUUGCAAAGCACUUUGAAGAGAGAGUUCAAGAGGACGUGAAACCGAUGAGAUGGAAACGGAAAGAGGUACCGAACAUGCUCGUAUUCCGCUGCCUUUUUGCGUGUGCCUUGCCUUUGCGAUCCCGCUAGGGUUGUGAGGGAGUCUUCCUGCGGACUGGCAGUGCAUUUGCGAGUAAUGGCGCUGCCGCGUGUGGUAGGUCAUCUGAUGUGCGAUUAGAGGACUCCUUUUGGAGAAACCUGGUUGCCCGGAUGUUGAUUUCGAACUGCCUGUUGAGGAACUGGCCAACGGGGGGGGGUUGCUAAGGUCGUUCCUGGCGUAAAUCCAGGCGAUUUGCCCU